CCAGGCCCUACGGGGUGCAGCAGGCGCGAAACCUCCGCAAUGUGAGAAAUCGCGACGGGGGGAUCCCAAGUGCCAUUCUUAACGGGAUGGCUUUUCAUUAGUGUAAAGAGCUUUUGGAAUAAGAGCUGGGCAAGACCGGUGCCAGCCGCCGCGGUAACACCGGCAGCUCUAGUGGUAGCAGUUUUUAUUGGGCCUAAAGCGUCCGUAGCCGGUUUAAUAAGUCUCUGGUGAAAUCCUGCAGCUUAACUGUGGGAAUUGCUGGAGAUACUAUUAGACUUGAGAUCGGGAGAGGUUAGAGGUACUCCCAGGGUAGAGGUGAAAUUCUGUAAUCCUGGGAGGACCGCCUGUUGCGAAGGCGUCUGACUGGAACGAUUCUGACGGUGAGGGACGAAAGCUAGGGGCGCGAACCGGAUUAGAUACCCGGGUAGUCCUAGCUGUAAACGAUGCGGACUUGGUGUUGGGGUGGCUUUGAGCUGUCCCAGUGCCGAAGGGAAGCUGUUAAGCCCGCCGCCUGGGAAGUACGGUCGCAAGGCUGAAACUUAAAGGAAUUGGCGGGGGAGCACCACAACGCGUGGAGCCUGCGGUUUAAUUGGAGUCAACGCCGG
rnacentral:rRNA from 1 species